ACACACACACACACACACACACAUGCUGACAGUCACCAAAAUGAAGCUUAAAAAAUAGUGGAGUCCGUGGUCCAAGGUCAUUCCAUCAAGAGAGGAUCAGAAAUUGACUGAGAGACAGGAGGGAGAUCUGUUACAGCAGACACAACUGUACAGGAAAAGAUGGCUUAGCACCUAUCAGUAUGCUUGGUUUGUAGCCUGUUAUGUGCUGUGUAAAGGAAUUUGUUGUUGAGCCAGACAUACCUGCCUCUGUUUGUGUGUAUUUGAGGGUGUUAGUGUGUGUGUUUGUGUACUGUACUUGCCAAUUUCCAAAGCAGGUCUCAUAAAAGUGUCAUAACUUUACGUUAAACGACUCUGACGCGUCGUCUUCUGCUCCCCCCCAUCUCCCUUCUUCCCCACACUUAAUCAAGAUCCAUCGUUCCCAGGAGUCUCACUGAGUGUGUAUGUGUGUGUGAGACAGUGUCUGUGUGUGCAUAUUUGUGAGAAUUUCAGUUUGAAUUAGUGCCUGUCACAUCAUUAAUACGCUAUCUUCAAAUAUAUGCUCCUUUUUCAUCAACACACACUGGUGCUUUUCUGUAAUUUUGCUCACAAGGUCAGGCCUGGCUGGAGGUCAUGCAGAUAGAUGACUGGGUCUGAAAAAGAGGAAAUAUGACUGGCUGAUGGGAAAUUGCAAGGAAAGUGUCCUUGGAAUUAUAUACCAGAAAAAAAGCCUUACAGUCUGUAUUUCAUUAAUACACAGAAUCAGAUGUUCUGCAGCUAAAUCUUGUCCUGUUGACUUGGAGACGAGACAGCAGGCUAAAUAUGUCUAGACUGAACAUAAAGCUUAUUUUCGAGGAGGCACAAACAAAGUCAGUGGAAUGGAUUUUGCUCUACUAAGGUGAAGAUUCGUCUGCGGGAGUUAAAAAUGUUUCAACUUGAACAAAAGAUUUGUGUUAAUAUCCUGAAGCUUCAUGACUCGACAGACAAGAAGAAAAAGGAGAGAAACUGGAGGAAAAUAUAAAGACAUUAAGUUCCUGAAUGGUGUCUUGAGGUCAUGAUCCAACUGGCAACAGACUGAACCAAGAAAAAUAAGAGGAGAAGAAAAGGCAGUCCAGGCAGUUUCUCUUCAUCAACAUGGACCUGCAAGAGUUUUCUCUCACCUUUCCAGCCAGCUAUGCAUGAAUGGAUUUUCUACACCUGUACUGUAAAUCAAAAGCAUCACAGGCCAAACCUCCAAUUUUCCCCUUUUGUUCUUUUUCUAGUUUCUUUUGUACAUGCUGCUAUUUUGUUAGUCAGUAAACAUUUUGGAAACACCUGUUUUGAGAGUGCAGAACCUUGUCAGAAAUUACUCCUUAGCUUUAAAUGUCAAGAUGUUUUUUGCUAAUAAUCAUGGAAAGACUGGCUUCUAAAUAAGCAGUUAUGUGCACAUUGAAAAUGUAAUUAUAAUGCAGUUAAAACUCUUAUGCAAGCACUAUUAGACCUUGGUGACAUUUCAUGAACAGCAAUCAACUGGUGAAGGUUUCCAUUUCACUGUGUUAUUGUAUAUCAAGGUCGAGUGCAUGUAUAGUUUCUAUACAUAGUUGGGAAAAGUCAAGACACCUGGAAGAGACAAAGUUCAUGUUAUACAUGUUGCAAGACAUGUAUAACGUGCUGUCUUUAGAUAGGUUUGCAGUUGCAGUGCAGGUGAAGCUGUAGUGAUAUUAUUAUAUGAGAGCUAAAUAAGAGAGAGAUUUUCUG